rnacentral:rRNA from 1 species
GAAUAUUGGACAAUGGGCGAAAGCCUGAUCCAGCAAUGCCGCGUGAGUGAUGAAGGCCCUAGGGUUGUAAAGCUCUUUUACCCGGGAUGAUAAUGACAGUACCGGGAGAAUAAGCCCCAGCUAACUCUGUGCCAGCAGCCGCGGUAAUACAGAGGGUGCGAGCGUUAAUCGGAAUUACUGGGCGUAAAGCGCACGUAGGCGGCUCUGCAAGUCGGGUGUGAAAUCCCCGGGCUCAACCUGGGAACUGCAUUCGAUACUGCAUUGCUAGAGUAUGGGAGAGGGAAGUGGAAUUUCCGGUGUAGCGGUGAAAUGCGUAGAUAUCGGAAGGAACACCAGUGGCGAAAGCGACUUCCUGGACCAAUACUGACGCUCAGGUGCGAAAGCGUGGGGAGCAAACAGG